CGACGGAUUGUCAUUUCGCCACGGGCGGGGACUGGAACCUCUGCAGACGACCGAGAUGUACCACCGGGUCAUGUACGUAGUCGAGUAGGCUAGUUCUUACGAGCUACUGAGUGUAAGCCCGACCGUGGUCCGUUCUUC
rnacentral:ncRNA from 1 species